rnacentral:rRNA from 1 species
AGAGUUUGAUCCUGGCUCAGAUUGAACGCUGGCGGCAUGCCUAACACAUGCAAGUCGAACGGAAACGAUGCUAGCUUGCUAGCAGGCGUCGAGUGGCGGACGGGUGAGUAAUGCAUAGGAAUCUGCCUUGUGGUGGGGGAUAACGUGUGGAAACGCACGCUAAUACCGCAUAACCUCUACGGAGUAAAGCGGGGGAUCUUCGGACCUCGUGCCAAAAGAUGAGCCUAUGUCAGAUUAGCUAGUUGGUAGGGUAAAGGCCUACCAAGGCGACGAUCUGUAGCUGGUUUGAGAGAACGAUCAGCCACACUGGGACUGAGACACGGCCCAGACUCCUACGGGAGGCAGCAGUGGGGAAUAUUGGACAAUGGGCGCAAGCCUGAUCCAGCAAUGCCGCGUGUGUGAAGAAGGCCUGCGGGUUGUAAAGCACUUUCAGUUGGGAGGAAAGGUAUUGUGUUAAUAGCGCAGUACUGUGACGUUACCAACAGAAGAAGCACCGGCUAACUCUGUGCCAGCAGCCGCGGUAAUACAGAGGGUGCAAGCGUUAAUCGGAAUUACUGGGCGUAAAGCGCGCGUAGGCGGUUUAUUAAGUCGGAUGUGAAAGCCCUGGGCUCAACCUGGGAACUGCAUUCGAAACUGAUUGACUAGAGUAUGGUAGAGGGUGGUGGAAUUCCUAGUGUAGCGGUGAAAUGCGUAGAUAUUAGGAGGAACAUCA